UCUGGACCUGUUGAUGUGACCUAUGCAAAGAUUGACCUCAAUAAGAAGACCAAGAACAAGAAGAAGAGAGGAUCAACUCCUCCACCAGAGACAGAACCAGUUUAUUCUGAAGUAAAGCCAUGAACAGGAGAACCUUCUUGGAUUCCAGGUUGUACCCUUUUGGUUUGAUACAAAAUCCUUGUAAAACAUUAUGUGGCAAAGGUUCUACUUGGAACAAAGCAGGGUUCUACCUAAUACCAAAAAGGGUUCUACCUGGAACCACAGCAACCAAGGUUUCAUCAAAGAGUUCUUCUUUGAGGACAGCUGAUCAACCCUUUAAGGUUCUAAAUAGCAAAAACAUUCUAAGAGUGUUUGUUUUCAUCAACUCCAAAAUGUUGCAGGUCCUUGAGAGAGAUGACAGGUACAAUCAGAUUAGAAGCAGGAGCCACCUGGGAACAUUGAUGUUUAUACCCACUCUCCAUGUAGACCACAGCAUUUACAGAAGACAUGAUGUUUAUACCCACUCUCCAUGUAGACCACAGCAUGUACAGAAGACAUGAUGUUUAUACCCACUCUCCAUGUAGACCACAGCAUGUACAGAAGACAUGAUGUUUAUACCCACUCUCCAUGUAGACCACAGCAUGUACAGAAGACAUGAUGUUUAUACCCACUCUCCAUGUAGACCACAGCAUGUACAGAAGACAUGAUGUUUACACCCACUCUCCAUGUAGACCACAGCAUGUACAGAAUACAUUAUGUUUACACCCACUCUCUAUGUAGACCACAGCAUGUACAGAAGACAUGAUGUUUAUACCCACUCUCCAUGUAGACCACAGCAUGUACAGAAGACAUUAUGUUUAUAUCCACUCUCCCUGUAGACCACAGUUGUAUAGAAGAGUAAACAUGAUGUUUAUACCCACUCUCCAUGUAGACCACAGCAUGUACAGAAGAGUAAACAUGAUGAUUACACCCACUCUCCAUCUAGAUCACAGCAUGUACAGAAGAGUGAACAUGAUGUUUAUACCCCUCUUUCAUGUAGACCACAGCCUGUACAGAAGGGUAAAUAUAAUGUUUAUACCCACUCUCCAUGUAGACCACAGCAUGUACAUAAGAGUAAGCAUGAUAUUUACACCCACUGUCCAUGUAGACCACAGCAUGUAGAGAAGUGUACUCACACACACACACACUCACAUAAGCACAAACACCAAGACACAUGGGAGACUGGUCAAAAAACCUUUGGAGCGAUUCUUCCAGUUUUACUAUGUAAAUAUUUUCAUUAUUUUUAACUUCAGUGACUUGUAAUAUCUUAGAUAUUUUGGUUUCUUCGUGUGAUUCAAUAAAACAUUUUCAAAAGCUUUUCCACAAAAUUAAUAUCUAUGAUGAAGUAACUUUGCUGUACAUUUGC
ensembl:lncRNA